rnacentral:rRNA from 1 species
GUACCGGACGAACGUUAUUCGGGAAUCACUGGGGGCUUAAAGAGUGCGUAGGCGGCCCUGCAGGGUGGGGUGUGAAAGCCCACGGGCCUAACCGUGGGAAUUGCGCUCCAAACCGCAGGGCUUGAGGGAGAUAGGGGUGAGCGGAACUGAUGGUGGAGCGGUGAAAUGCGUUGAUAUCAUCAGGAACACCUGUGGCGAAGGCGGCUCACUGGGUCUCUUCUGACGCUGAGGCACGAAAGCUAGGGGAGCGAACGGGAUUAGAUACCCCGGUAGUCCUAGCUGUAAACGAUGAGCACUAGAUCGAGGGGGCCUCCACACCUUCUCGGUCGUAGCGAAAGUGUUAAGUGCUCCGCCUGGGGAGUAUGGUCGCAAGGCUG